UGCAAAAUUCGGAUUUGCGGCCGGCGGGAGCGGCGGCAGACCAGACCCCGCAAAGCCGACCCCUAAAAGAGCAUAUUCCGCGAAUAUCCUUUUAUACGGGUCCGUUUUGCGGGGUCUGCCUCCGUGGCUGUCCGCGCCGACCCGCAAAGCCGUCUUUCCGUGAACUGCAAACACUUUUUACAGGUCAGCGUUAUGCGGGGUCUGCUAGAGAUGCUCUAAGGGGUGUUAUUAGAAUAGACCCAUCCUAUAUAUAUAUAUUAACACUAUUCUAAUCCGAGGAUUAGAAUGGCAAGGCCCCUGUAUAGGGAGCGAUGAGGUGUUCCUUAGAUCCCGAGGAUGCAAAAAAAACCCCAACCAACCGUCCCCCACCUGUCGCACCUCUCUCUCCCCUGGAUCCCCGCCGCCGCCCAGGAAACCACCGACCCACCCAUCGCCGGGGACCAUCCAACGGCUGGCGCCCUCAACCCUAGGCGCCGUCGCCCCCGACCCCAGGCGUCGCCGCCCCGCCAACCCCAGGCGUCGCUGCCCCUGAAAACCCUCGGACCGGGAAUCACCGCUGGCCACCCACCCCAUCCAUCGUGACGACGCCUCCUACCGUGACGCCGCCACAAGCCUUCUACCACCACACCGAUGUCGGCAUCCUCCCGCAGCACCGCCAGUGCUUUGCCGGUAGAAGUUCGAGGCCGGAUCCGGAGGAAGUUCGAGGGAUCCUCCUGACAUUAACUACAGCAAGCCAGAGCCGCUCGCCGCCUUCGCUUGAGGAUCCUGCGGGAGAAAGCGAGAUUGACCCGCCCAACCAUUGACUCCUCCCGGGGUCUGCCACCCUGCUCCCAUGAUUCGCCGACACCCUUCACCAACACCCUUGCUCCCCGAACCAGGGGCAUUACGCAGUCAGCAGGGCCUCUAGCCAAACACACCAUGCCCCUCAACUCUCGCCUCUGCACCUUCUGCCUUGGCAUCCCUCACGCGUGACCUUCUGCAGCGCCUAUGAUUGACCUUCCUGUCAUCUCUUGCUUGAACCCCUGCACCACUGCUUCCAAAUCAGCUCUACUCAUUCAAAGCUAAAGAGCAUUUUCUUCUAGGUAGUGGAGAGCACCCUCACCCUGAUCUGAUCUGUAGGGCCGCCCCGAGUCCGCCCAAAGCAACCCGAGUCGUUCAACUACGCAGCCCCGGGCCGUUCAACGACAGAGCCGCUGGCCGCCCAUGAACACAUCAUCCUAGAUCCUGCUGCCCACCAUCCAGUUCAACAUCUGCUGAAUCUGGUGAAGGGAGACUUCUUUUGAGACCAAUUCCCUCUUAACCUUUUUUCAUUGAAAGUUUUAGUUUGUUAGCUACCAUGGGUGGCACGCAUUCAGCUGGGACUUUUUUUUGUUUCCACAUGUCGCCAGUUGCUAUUUGCCUAAAAAGAUUUACGUAUACUGGGAUCUCCAUGUACUGAACAUGCUAAAAAGAUAUCUCAUGUAUAUUCAUACCUCGUGUGCUGCAGACCCAUAGCUCGCCGCGAAUUCUCCAGCAACCAUGGUGGCGAGUUGUGCGUGAACCUACAUCCAAAAUUGUUGCCAACGGAGACGCCGCACUGCUUGUCGCUACCUACACCCCGUGGAAGACAGCACCCACGGCCUUGUUGUAGACCUUGCAUGUUGUUGGCAGUCGUACUCUUGGCUACCUAGACGUUCCCCUGCCUUUAGCACCCCCGGCUGCCCCGCUGGCCAACUCCAUAACCCCGCCAGAAAAUUGGCCACCAUUGCAGGUCAGCUUCUCCUGAUGGGCAAGUCCAGCUGCAAAAAUAAGAGUGCAUGGAAGCUUCUCCAGAAAAUUGGCCACCAUUACGGUUGUUUUUUGAAUCAAGAUGUUGCUUGUUUGAGAAUACAGGGAAGAAGAAGAAAAGCACGGAGAAGAUAACACAUCAGCACUUUGUGGAUAACGCGAGACAAGAUACGAAGUGAAUGUGUGCUGGAGAAAUGUAAGUCGGCCACUAGUUAGUGCAUUUUUUAUGUAAAAAGGAUUGGGUGCAUGUAGUUACUAUGUGGCCAGGUCAUUUGAGAAUAUUGUUUGUAAGCGUGCACUGUCUUUUUGCCGCUGAUUCUUAUGCUCAAAUUAUCCCCAAAUUUCUACAGUUUUUGCACACUCAUUUUACAUCUUUCCUUCUUCUCCUUUUGUGCAUGUUAUGCAACUUAGAAAUUGUCGUGUCGAGAAGUUCAUGUAUUACUACCAAGGAAUUCAUGAAACAAAAAUUUAGAAGUUCGAUUUUUUAAAUCUAGAAUAAGUUUUUUUUUA